ensembl:lncRNA
UGUAUUCAAGCAUUUUGCUGCAUCUUACAAAUUAUGAAGUUCUCUUAGCUAAUUAUUUUGACGUUUCUAGGUAAUAGUCCUCUUUGGUAGUACUUAAACUAUUUAUUUUUAUUUCAUGUCUUAUUGUGUAGGUCAGAAUUUUCAGAAUAUAAUGUGGAAUAAUGAUAAUGACCAGCCUGGUUUUACUCCACCUGAAAGAGAAACCUCAAGAGUCUCAGUAUUAUAUUGGUUUUUGGUUAGAAAGAGAUUACCAUGUUAAAGAAGAAUUUUAUUACCUAGAUUUAUGCCCAGACAUCACCAUCAUAUAAAGCAAGGUAUUGCUGAACUUCAGAAUGCAGUCCCCUAAGUACCUGCCUCCCUGAAUGAAAAGUGACCUUUCUACCUCCCCAUAAAAGGUCUUCCCAUUUCCUGACCAAUGUGAAUAUUUACAGUCUUUUCAGAAACUCAAAUCUCUAUUUCCAUCAAGCAGUUUCUACAGUUCCAUAUUCUCAAGUUCUGGGGUCUCCUAUGCUGAAUCAUACCAGAUGUGUUAUCCUGUCCAAGCCAGGGCUCUACCAAGCCAAUCCAGGACCCUUCCUAUAGUCUCUCCUUUGGAUGAGGUAAAGAACAGAUAUUCCCUGUUUGAGUAUCAAGGAUUCGCACAUGUCCUCAAAAUAACCAAUAAUUUUUUAGUGUGCUGCUGCUGCUAAGUUGCUUCAGUCAUGUCCGACUCUGUGUGACCCCAUAGACAGCAGCCCACCAGGCUCCUCAGUCCAUGGAAUUUUCCAGGCAAGAGUACUGGAGUGGGUUGCCAUUGCCUUCUCCAUUUUUACUGUCUAAUGGCAGUUAUAGAAUUUGCUGCUGCUGCUGCUGCUGCUGCUGCCGCUAAGCUGCUGCUGCCGCUAAGCCUCUUCAGUCGUGUCCGACUCUGCGCGACCCCAGAGACAGCAGCCCACCAGGCUCCCCCAUCCCUGGGAUUCUCCAGGCAAGAACACUGGAGUGGGUCGCCAUUUCCUUCUCCAAUGCAUGAAAGUGAAGUUGCUCAGUCGUGUCCGACUCCUAGCGACCCCGUGGAUUGCAGCCCACCAGGCUCCUCCACCCAUGCGAUUUUCCAGGCAAAAGUAUAGGAGUAGGGUGCCAUUGCCUUCUCUGAAUAGAACUUGCUAAGCAAAUUCAUUUAAUUUAUACUGAGUGUGUUGUGCACUAUGUUAGAAAUUCCAGGGACUAUAAGGAAAUCAAAAAGCCUGAUUUUUCUAGAGAUACACAUAGAAAGUUAACAAUGUAGCAGCCAUUCAAAACCACAAUUUGAGUGACAUCACAAAGCUGCAGUUGGUACCAGCCAGCAAUAAACCACUGCCAAGUAUGCAGUCACCAUACUAUACUGAAUCUCCACCUACUUAGGCUUAAGAGUUUUUACAAGUAGUGAAACUUCCCUGAUUCUCAAAGUUUGCAUCUCAAAAAUGAGUGUCGGACUUGAGACACACCUCCCUCUCAAAUCUCUAUGAAUCUUUGAUGAUUUCCAAGAUCCUAUAUGGACACUUUGAUAUGUAAUCAAACUUUCUUAAUCUCCAAGUAGAAAAGCAACUAAAGCUAAUAUAGGGAAGAUCAGAAAGAAAAUCAGGGAUGGAAGAGGUGAAGGAGCAAAAUGAAACUUCUUUAAUGUGGUAUCUACCUAUGUCAAGUCAAGUAGUGUUCCCUGUAUUACAAAUGGAAAUUAUAAUGUAUAAAACCUGUAAGGUCUACCUCCAGCCUUUUAAUCUCAGAAUCUCUAUAUUUCAUUGUAUAACUAAUACUUGAACCAGUAGGUGGAAUGGAGAAAUAUAAGUCCUGACUAAAUAAAAAUACAUGAAUUGUUUGAAAUAUGAAAGGAUAUAAAGUAAAAAAAAUGAAAAUUCUAUUGUUUAUUUAAGUCUACCAUACCACUCAGAUUUUAAACUGUAUGAAAGAUGAUUGUCCAUGGCAACCUAUAUAUAUCUCAAACAAUAUUCUAUCAAUCACUCAGGCAUAAAAAUUAGAAGAUUGUUAUUCAGUAGUUGUGAUUUUGUUAAGCUAGCUUAUUAAAAAACCUUUGUUGGAGUAUACUUGAUUAACAGUGUUGUAUUAGUUUCAGCUGCACAGUGAAGUGAAUCUAUUAUAUAUAUACACAUAUAUCCACUUUUUAAAGUUUCUUUUCCCCAAAGGCCAUUACAGACUAUUGAGUAGAGUUCUCUGUGCUAUACAGUAGGUGCUUGUUAGUUAUCUACUCUAUAUAUAGUACUGCUGGGAGCUAAGUCACUUCAGGCAUGUCCAACUCUUUGCAACCCUGUGGACUAUAGUUUGCAGGUUCCUCUGUCCAUGGGAUUUUCCAGGCAAGAAACCUGGAGUGGAUUGCUGUAUCCUCCUGCAGGGAACCUUCCCAACCCAGGGAUCUAACCUGCAUCUCCUGCAUUGCAAUCAAAUUCUUUUACCGCUGAGCUAUUAGGGAAGUCCACUCUAUAGAGAGUAGUGUGUGUCAAUUCCAGUGUUCCAAUUUAUCCUUCCCCACUUACUCCCUUGUAACCAUAAGUUUAUAUGUUUACAUCUAUAACUCUGUUUCUGUUUUGUAAAUAAGUUCAUUUGUAGCCUUUUUUUUAGAUUGCCACUUAUAAGUGAUAGCAUGCAAUAUUUGUCUUUCUCUGACUUACUUCACUCAGUAUGAGAAUCUCUGUGUCCACCCAUGUUGCUGCAUCUAGCAUCAUUUGUUCUUCUUAUGGAUGAGUCAUAUUCCAUUCUAUAUAUGUACCACAUCUUCUUUACCUAUUCCUCUGCUGAUGAACAUGUAGGUUAUUUCCAUGUACUGGCUAUUGUAAAUGGUGCUGCAAUUAACAUUCAAUUAACAUUGAGGUAUAUGUUUCUUUUCAAACUAUGGUUUUCUCUAGAUAUAUGCCCAGGAAUGGUAUUGGUGGAUCAUAUGAUAGCUCUGUUUGUAGUUUUUUUAAGGAACCUCCAUACUGGUCUCCAUAAUGGCUGUACCAAUUUUCAUUCCAGCCACUAGUGUAGACCAGCUUUUUGUUUUUUAUUUCAAGACCAGUUCCACGGCAUUUAAAAUUU